rnacentral:rRNA from 1 species
CUACGGGGCGCACCAGUGAGGAAUAUUGCACAAUGGGGGGAACCCUGAUGCAGCAACGCCGCGUGGAGGAUGACGCAUUUCGGUGUGUAAACUCCUUUUAUAUGUCAAGAAAAUGACGGUAGCAUAUGAAUAAGCACCGGCUAACUCCGUGCCAGCAGCCGCGGUAAUACGGAGGGUGCACGCGUUACUCGGAAUCACUGGGCGUAAAGGGCGCGUAGGCGGGUUGGAAAGUCAGGUGUGAAAUCCUACAGCUUAACUGUAGAACUGCACUUGAAACUUCUAAUCGAGAGUAUGGGAGGGGGAGAUGGAAUUAGUGGUGUAGGGGUAAAAUCCGUAGAUAUCACUAGGAAUACCUAAAGCGAAGGCGAUCUCCUGGAACAUUACUGACGCUAAGGCGUGAAAGCGUGGGGAGCAAACAGGAUUAGAUACCCCCGUAGUC